rnacentral:lncRNA from 1 species
UUUUUUAAGUAAUUAGUCAUUAGUUAACUAUAUUUAGUGUUUAAAACUAUUGUAAGGUAUACACGUCAUUGUUCCCUGUAUCAUAUGACCUUUACCUCGUGUUUAUAGUACAAUGGUGAGUAUUUUACUCGAGAAAGUGUGUUUUUGUAGGCUGUUGAUUCAGCAAGCACGAGAGGCUUUAUGUUGAAUUAUUCUAAACACUAAGGAAACAAGGAAAUGAUUGUUAAAACUGUGUUUGGCAAAACUUUUGUGAAUUUUCGGUUUAAAUGAUCUUUAGCUUUAUAUUUAUUUGAUUCUCUAGCUGUUUUAUCCGAGCGCCACGAAGAAGUCGUAUGUAGACAAAACCUAUUUAUCAGCCCGAUAUCUUUCAUUUGUUUUUAAAUAGCUUCUUGAUGACACAUUUUUUGGUGGGAUUUGAGUUACCCUGUCGUUAAUUUUCUAUGUAGUGGUAAGUGAAACGUCUUUAUCUUCCGUACACUCUCAAUUAUUUGCUAUGGUCAUUUUAUUUCGACCUACGAAUUUGGAAUGUUCCCUUGGUAUCUUUUUUUCUUUAUGCUAGCAUUUCUAAAUUUACGUCCUCUAGUCUUUACUAUCCUGAUUCGAGAUAUUGGUCAUUUGUUUUCAUGAACUUGACUUUCACGGUUGUUUUUUUUUUUUCUAUUGCGGGUUUAACUUGUACAACAUUUGGUAUGGAUAAGUAAAGUAAACGGUUAAUCUCGCGUACGUUCUCGCCAAUUGUUGUGCUUGCAUGAUAGGGUUUUUUCAUUAUUGUUUGUCUGUUUGUAUUCGAUCUUUUCGGUUGAGUGAGUUCUUUGUUGUUAGCGUGAUAUUUUGCUCUUUUCAAUAUUCUAUGGCAAAUUUGGUUACCUGUUUUGUGAAUUAUUUGUUUAUAAAUUCAGAUAGUUACAGAAAUACGACUCUUUCAGUUAUGGUCGUCUGAUCUGUAAUUUCACCUUUGCAAUAUUCUCCAUUUUGUAUUUCUUACGCUAAACGUGAGUCUUG